rnacentral:rRNA from 1 species
GCGAACGCUGGCGGCAGGCUUAACACAUGCAAGUCGAGCGGGCCCUUCGGGGUCAGCGGCGGACGGGUGAGUAACGCGUGGGAACGUGCCUUCUGGUUCGGAAUAACUCAGGGAAACUUGAGCUAAUACCGGAUACGCCCUUUUGGGGAAAGGUUUACUGCCGGAAGAUCGGCCCGCGUCUGAUUAGCUAGUUGGUGGGGUAACGGCCUACCAAGGCGACGAUCAGUAGCUGGUCUGAGAGGAUGAUCAGCCACACUGGGACUGAGACACGGCCCAGACUCCUACGGGAGGCAGCAGUGGGGAAUAUUGGACAAUGGGCGCAAGCCUGAUCCAGCCAUGCCGCGUGAGUGAUGAAGGCCUUAGGGUUGUAAAGCUCUUUUAUCCGGGACGAUAAUGACGGUACCGGAGGAAUAAGCCCCGGCUAACUUCGUG